GCCAGAGGGUGCAAACGUUGUUCGGAAUUACUGGGCGUAAAGCGUGUGUAGGCGGCUUUGCAAGUCGGAUGUGAAAGCCCCGGGCUCAACCCGGGAAGUGCACUCGAUACUGCGGAGCUUGAGUGUCGGAGAGGUUGGUGGAAUUCUCGGUGUAGAGGUGAAAUUCGUAGAUAUCGAGAGGAACACCGGUGGCGAAGGCGGCCAACUGGACGAACACUGACGCUGAGACACGAAAGCGUGGGGAGCAAACAGG
rnacentral:rRNA from 1 species